rnacentral:lncRNA from 1 species
CCUUCAGUAACACUAGGAACCCUGAGUAGAUAAGAAAUGUUUUUUUACUGGAAAAACAACAACAGAAUAGCUCUAAAACAGGUUAGAUCUCUACUUAGACCCUUGCAGCUUACUAAAUGACAGCACAAGUUACUUCCUACCUACUCCCCAGCCUUGUUACUUUGCAUUUAAAAAUAGAGAUGGAUUGCACACCUCCCCUUCCCAGGUUGUUUAAAAGCCAAACAAGACUGCAUGUAACGUGUAGGGAUUGAGGGAGAGCUUCAGCCAGUCCUGUGUCCUUUUCACUU